rnacentral:lncRNA from 1 species
UGUAACAGAGGAAAACAUCAUACAUGUCACAUAAAGCUAAAAUUUCAGCUUUCAGGUCACAAGCGUUCAAAGAAGUAGGAGAGGUCGCAAGGAUGAGUAAUAUGAGAACCGAAAGUGUCAAUUCAUCUAGAAAUACUCCUCGAGCGAGUGGAACAUUUACUUAAUUUCCUAGAAGAUUAAAACACAUUAUUCUCUGUAAAGGAGGUACUUCAAGACAAUCCACCCUCCACCUGUAACCCCCUUCCCAUUCUCCCCUUCUCUUCAGACACGUCGUGCAGUAAAAAGAGAUGAGCAAUAAAACAUUUGCACUGGCAGACAAUCCAAUUCCCCAUGAGAGGCAAAUCGAGGAAACAGGUUUAAUAGUCAGAUACAAAACCAAACUCACCUAGUUAUGUACCACAAAUAAUCACUUGUAUCUCUGGUUACAUUUAUUUGCUCCAAGAGACCAAAAGACCUAAUUGAUGAGCUGUCAUCUAAUGCAGAUAUAUCUUCACUGUAAGUCUCCCAAGAUAGCAUCUCUGAGUUAGUCGGUAGCAUUUCCAUCUUUGAUGUUUGAACUCCAACCUACAUAUGAAUUUAAAAGCUGUUAAAUCCUUGCUUUCAGAGUUGUCAGCGAGUAGCAUAAAUGAACUAUAUCUUUCGGAGGAUGCUAAAGCAGCUCAUGAGUACUAUUGAAUGUACAGAAGUUCCCACACGGGUGUAUUACGUACUUUGGCCGUGUUGAAGACUACAUUUCUGCAAUCAGGAAGG